AAUAAGUAAACCUGGCAUCUACAGGGGGAUAACUGAUGGAAACGUCAGCUAAGACCGCAUAGGUGUAGAGAUCGCAUGAACUCUAUAUGAAAAGUGCUACGGGACUGGUAGAUGAUGGACUUAUGGCGCAUUAGCUGGUUGGUAGGGUAACGGCCUACCAAGGCGACGAUCGGUAGCCGGACUGAGAGGUUGAACGGCCACAUUGGGACUGAGACACGGCCCAG
rnacentral:rRNA from 1 species